rnacentral:rRNA from 1 species
ACGAACGCUGGCGGCGCGCUUAACACAUGCAAGUCGAGCGAGAACCAGACCUUCGGGUCUGGGGACAGCGGCGAACGGGUGAGUAACACGUGGGUAAUCAACCCUCGGUACUGGGAUAGCCCGGGGAAACCCGGAUUAAUACCGGAUGGCCCUUUGGAACUUCGGUUCUGAAGGAAAAGGUAGCUUCGGCCUCCGACCGAGGACGAGCCCGCGGCGGAUUAGCCUGUUGGUGGGGUAACGGCCUACCAAGGCGGCGAUCCGUAGCUGGUCUGAGAGGACGAUCAGCCACACUGGGACUGAGACACGGCCCAGACUCCUACGGGAGGCAGCAGUGGGGAAUCUUGCGCUAAUGCGGGAAACCGUGACGCAGCGACGCCGCGUGAGGGAAGAAGGCCUUCGGGUUGUAAACCUCUUUCAGGAGGGACGAAGCCACUCGGGUUAAUAGCCCAGAGGGUGACGGUACCUCCAGAAGAAGCCCCGGCUAACUACGUGCCAGCAGCCGCGGUAAUACGUAGGGGGCAAGCGUUGUCCGGAUUUAUUGGGCGUAAAGAGCGUGUAGGCGGCUAGGUAGGUCCGUUGUGAAAACUCGAGGCUCAACCUCGAGACGCCGGUGGAAACCAUCUAGCUAGAGUCCGGAAGAGGAGAGUGGAAUUCCUGGUGUAGCGGUGAAAUGCGUAGAUAUCAGGAGGAAACACCUGUGGUGUAAGACAGGCUCUACUGGGACCAGUCACUGACGCUGAGACGCGAAAGCGUGGGGAGCGAACAGGAUUAGAUACCCUGGUAGUCCACGCCCGUAAACGAUGGGCAUAGCUGUGGGGUGUGAGCCAUUCCUUGUUCCGUGCCGAAGCUAACGCAUUAAGUAUGCCCGCCUGGGGAGUACGGUCCGCAAGGCUAAACUCAAAGGAAUUGACGGGGGCCCGCACAAGCAGGUGGAGCAUGUGGUUCAAUUCGACGCAACGCGAAGAACCUUACCUGGGCUCGAACGGCUAUGGAAAGCCGGUGGAAACACUGGUUUCCCGCAAGGGACCGUAGUCGAGGUGCUGCAUGGCUGUCGUCAGCUCGUGUCGUGAGAUGUUGGGUUAAGUCCCGCAACGAGCGCAACCCUUGUCCUGUGUUGCCACUCCCGUAAGGGAAGCACUCUCAGGAGACCGCCAGCGAUAAGCCGGAGGAAGGUGGGGAUGAUGUCAAGUCAUCAUGGCCUUUAUGUCCAGGGCUACACACGUGCUACAAUGGGCGGUACAAAGCGCUGCAAACCCGCGAGGGGAAGCUAAUCGCAAAAAACCGUUCUCAGUUCGGAUCGCAGGCUGCAACUCGCCUGCGUGAAGCUGGAAUCGCUAGUAAUGGCGUAUCAGAAUGAUGCCGUGAAUACGUUCCCGGGCCUUGUACACACCGCCCGUCACAUCACGAAAGUGGAUUGUACUAGAAGUCUGCAUGCCGACCGCAAGGGGGCAGCGGCCCAAGGUAUGAUUCAUGAUUGGGGUG